CAUGAACUUAGCUUGCUAAGUUUGAUGGCGACCGGCGCACGGGUGAGUAACACGUAUCCAACCUGCCGAUGACUCGGGGAUAGCCUUUCGAAAGAAAGAUUAAUACCCGAUGGCAUAGUUCUUCCGCAUGGUAGAACUAUUAAAGAAUUUCGGUCAUCGAUGGGGAUGCGUUCCAUUAGGUUGUUGGCGGGGUAACGGCCCACCAAGCCUUCGAUGGAUAGGGGUUCUGAGAGGAAGGUCCCCCACAUUGGAACUGAGACACGGUCCAAACUCCUACGGGAGGCAGCAGUGAGGAAUAUUGGUCAAUGGACGAGAGUCUGAACCAGCCAGGUAGCGUGAAGGAUGACUGCCCUAUGGGUUGUAAACUUCUUUUAUACGGGAAUAAAGUGAGGCACGUGUGCUUUUUUGUAUGUACCGUGUGAAUAAGGAUCGGCUAACUCCGUGCCAGCAGCCGCGGUAAUACGGAGGAUCCGAGCGUUAUCCGGAUUUAUUGGGUUUAAAGGGAGCGUAGGCGGACGCUUAAGUCAGUUGUGAAAGUUUGCGGCUCAACCGUAAAAUUGCAGUUGAUACUGGGUGUCUUGAGUACAGUAGAGGCAGGCGGAAUUCGUGGUGUAGCGGUGAAAUGCUUAGAUAUCACGAAGAACU
rnacentral:rRNA from 1 species